GUGGAUGUUGCUUUUAAUGAUGAUAGAAUUGUAAAUUUAGAGCAAAAGCUUGAAUCAUUGACUGAUGAUGUGAGUCAAGUCAAGAAUGCUAUAGGUGAUAUAAGUGACUUAAAAAAUCAAUUUCAAAUUAUUAUGAGUUUCAUGAUGGAGAAAUUUGGAUCAAAUAUUCCUACGCCAACAAGUAAAUGAUUUUAGAGGAAGACAUUGGGGCAAGAAGAGAGCAACAACAAAAAAAAAACUGAAGGAAGACAAUGGCCAAGAAGAGGAAACAAAGAAACUCAAGGUAAUUCAAUGCAUGUUCAUGAUGGCUUUUUACUUCACUUUGUUGGUGACAAUUGUAUUGAUGGAUUAGAGAAUUAUUGAUGAUGGAUUUUUGGUUGUCAUGGAAUGUUGGAUUGUUGUAUGGAUUAUUUGUAUUUUUGGUAUGAAUUGAAUGUUUUGGAUCA